UGGUUUGAUUAUGGCUCAGGAUGAACGCUGGCGGCAUGCCUAAUACAUGCAAGUCGAACGGAGUGAAGCCUUCGGGUUUCAUUCAGUGGCGAACGGGUGAGUAAUACGCAGGGAACCUGGCCAUGGCAGGGGGAUACACUCUGGAAACGGAGCAUAAGACCCCAUAGGCAGUAAGGCGGCAUCGCCUUACUGUUAAAGAAAGCUGAAAGGCUUUGGCGAUGGAUGGACCUGCGGUGCAUUAGCUUGUUGGUGAGGCAACGGCUUACCAAGGCGAUGAUGCAUAGCCGGCCUGAGAGGGCGGACGGCCACACUGGGACUGAGACACGGCCCAGACUCCUGCGGGAGGCAGCAGUAGGGAAUUUUCGUCAAUGGGCGCAAGCCUGAACGAGCAAUGCCGCGUGAGUGAGGAAGGUCUUCGGACUGUAAAGCUCUGUUGCCGGGGAAAAAGGGGAAAUGCAGGAAAUGGCAUUUCAUGGAUGGUACCCGGCCAGAAAGCCACGGCUAACUACGUGCCAGCAGCCGCGGUAAUACGUAGGUGGCGAGCGUUAUCCGGAAUGAUUGGGCGUAAAGGGUGCGCAGGCGGUCUGUUAAGUCUGAAGGCAAAGGGAUGAGCUCAACUCAUUUAUGAUUCAGAAACUGGCAGACUUGAGGACAGGAGAGGGCGGUGGAACUCCAUGUGUAGCGGUAAAAUGCGCAGAGAUAUGGAAGAACACCAGUGGCGAAGGCGGCCGCCUGGCCUGUGACUGACGCUGAGGCACGAAAGCGUGGGGAGCAAAUAGGAUUAGAUACCCUAGUAGUCCACGCCGUAAACGAUGAGGAGCAGGUGUUGGGAGUGAAAUCUCAGUGCCGAAGCCAACGCAGUGACUCCUCCGCCUGGGGAGUAUGCACGCAAGUGUGAAACUCAAAGGAAUUGACGGGGGCCCGCACAAGCGGUGGAGUAUGUGGUUUAAUUCGAAGCAACGCGAAGAACCUUACCAGGUUUUGACAUCGGAUGCGAAGGCGCAGAGAUGCGCUGGAGGCUAUCAUCCAGACAGGUGGUGCAUGGUUGUCGUCAGCUCGUGUCGUGAGAUGUUCAGUUAAGUCUGGCAACGAGCGCAACCCCCGUGGUAUGUUACUAACGCUUUAGGGCGAGGACUCAUAUCAGACUGCCGGUGACAAACCGGAGGAAGGCGGGGAUGACGUCAAAUCAUCAUGCCCCUUAUGACCUGGGCUACACACGUAUUACAAUGGCGUCUACAGAGGGAAGCGACCCUGAGAAGGGAAGCGAAACCGGAAAAGGGCGUCCCAGUUCGGAUUGAAGUCUGCAACCCGACUUCAUGAAGAUGGAAUCGCUAGUAAUCGCGGAUCAGCAUGCCGCGGUGAAUACGUUCCCGGGCCUUGUACACACCGCCCGUCAAACCAUGGAAGCCGGCAACGCCCGAAGCCGGUGGCAUAACCUUUUAGGAGUGAGCCGUCGAAGGCGGGGCCGAUGACUGGGGUUAAGUCGUAACAAGGUACCC
rnacentral:rRNA from 1 species